CUGCCGGAUAUUCGAUGCUUUUAUUAUGCUAAUUAAAACUCAAUUGGAGACUAAAAAUCCACAAGGAAUAAACGGAAUCAAAUCAAUCGUAGUUAAAUUUGUUUAUUUGGUAAAGCGACUGCUCUACAUGCAUCCUCGUGAGACAAUUACGACUGCAAAGUUGGCUCUUCCAUGCCUCAAAGAAUAUAUUAACUCUAUUUGUCAUCCGGGGAGUCUUCUUUCUGAAGUGAAUGCUCUUGAAGUGGCUAUAUCCAUUGAUACACGUGGUUCAAAUUAUUUGAAUAUUUUUUCUCG